rnacentral:rRNA from 1 species
CGGGAAUUUUGGGCAAUGGGCGAAAGCCUGACCCAGCAACGCCGCGUGAGGGAUGAAGUAUUUCGGUAUGUAAACCUCGAAAGAAUGGGAAGAAUAAAUGACGGUACCAUUUAUAAGCUCCGGCUAACUACGUGCCAGCAGCCGCGGUAAUACGUAGGGAGCAAGCGUUGUUCGGAUUUACUGGGCGUAAAGGGCGCGUAGGCGGCGCGGUAAGUCACUUGUGAAAUCUCUGAGCUUAACUCAGAACGGCCAAGUGAUACUGCUGGGCUAGAGUGCGGAAGAGGCAACCGGAAUUCUUGGUGUAGCGGUGAAAUGCGUAGAUAUCAAGAGGAACACCUGAGGCGAAGGCGGGUUGCUGGGCCGACACUGACGCUGAUGCGCGAAAGCCAGGGGAGCAAACG